UACGUAGGGUGCGAGCGUUGUCCGGAAUUAUUGGGCGUAAAGAGCUCGUAGGCGGUUUGUCGCGUCGGCCGUGAAAACUUGGGGCUUAACUCCAAGCUUGCGGUCGAUACGGGCAGACUUGAGUUCGGCAGGGGAGACUGGAAUUCCUGGUGUAGCGGUGGAAUGCGCAGAUAUCAGGAGGAACACCGAUGGCGAAGGCAGAUCUCUGGGCCGUAACUGACGCUGAGGAGCGAAAGCAUGGGGAGCGAACAGG
rnacentral:rRNA from 1 species